ACCUACGGGGGGCAGCAGUGGGGGAUAUUGCACAAUGGGGGAAACCCUGAUGCAGCGACGCCGCGUGGGCGAAGAAGUAUUUCGGUAUGUAAAGCCCUAUCAGCAGGGAAGAAGAAAUGACGGUACCUGAGUAAGAAGCACCGGCUAAAUACGUGCCAGCAGCCGCGGUAAUACGUAUGGUGCAAGCGUUAUCCGGAUUUACUGGGUGUAAAGGGAGCGCAGACGGCGAUGCAAGCCAGGAGUGAAAGCCCGGGGCCCAACCCCGGGACUGCUCUUGGAAAUGCGGGGCUGGAGUGCAGGAGGGG
rnacentral:rRNA from 1 species